UAUUCUACUUGGAUAACUGUGGUAAUUCUAGAGCUAAUACAUGCUUGAUUUUCCGACCCUCUUCACGGAGGUGAGGAAUUGCUUUUAUUAGGCCAGAAUCAUUGACGGUGCCGUGGGGCUAACACCCUGCGUGCAUCGGUAUUCUUGGUGACUCUGAAUAACUUUGGGCUGAUCGCACGGUCUUCGCACCGGCGACGGGUCUUUCAAGUGUCUGACUUAUCAACUGUCGAUGGUAGGUUAUGCGCCUACCAUGGUUGUCACGGGUAACGGGGAAUCAGGGUUCGAUUCCGGAGAGGGAGCCUGAGAAACGGCUACCACAUCCAAGGAAGGCAGCAGGCGCGCAAAUUACCCACUCCCGGCACGGGGAGGUAGUGACGAAAAAUAACAAUACGGGACUCAUCCGAGGCCCCGUAAUUGGAAUGAGUACACUUUAAAUCCUUUAACGAGGAUCCAUUGGAGGGCAAGUCUGGUGCCAGCAGCCGCGGUAAUUCCAGCUCCAAUAGCGUAUAUUAAAGUUGCUGCGGUUGAAAAGCUCGUAGUUGGAUCCCAGUCGCAGGCGGGCGGUCCGCCUCAAACGGCGGUUCACUGCUCCGUCCUCGACAUACCUCUGGCUGGGUCUUUGACCGUCCCGCGAUGCUCUUCGCCGGGUGUCGUGGGGGGCCGGUAAAUAUACUUUGAAAAAAUUAAAGUGCUUAAAGCAGGCGUGUGGCCGGAAUAAUGGUGCAUGGAAUAUUGGAAUAGGACCUCGGUUCUAUCUUGUUGGUUCUUUCGGAACACGAGGUAAUGAUUAAUAGGGACAGACGGGGGCAUUCGUAUUGCGACGUUAGAGGUGAAAUUCUUGGAUCGUCGCAAGACGGACUACUGCGAAAGCAUUUGCCAAGAAUGUUUUCGUUAAUCAAGAACGAAAGUUAGAGGUUCGAAGGCGAUCAGAUACCGCCCUAGUUCUAACCAUAAACGAUGCCAACCAGCGAUCCGUCGGUGUUACUUCGAAUGACCCGACGAGCAGCUUCCGGGAAACCAAAGUAUUUGGGUUCCGGGGGAAGUAUGGUUGCAAAGCCGAAACUUAAAGGAAUUGACGGAGGGGCACCACCAGGAGUGGAGCCUGCGGCUUAAUUUGACUCAACACGGGAAACCUCACCAGGCCCGGACACUUGGAGGAUUGACAGAUUGAGAGCUCUUUCUUGAUUCAGUGGGUGGUGGUGCAUGGCCGUUCUUAGUUGGUGGAGCGAUUUGUCUGGUUAAUUCCGAUAACGAACGAGACCCUUUCCUGCA
rnacentral:rRNA from 1 species